GAGUUUGAUCAUGGCUCAGAACGAACGCUGGCGGCAGGCUUAAUACAUGCAGGUCGAGCGGUCUCUUUCGGGAGACAGCGGCGGACGGGUUAGUAACGCGUGGGAACGUGCCCUUUAGUACGGAAUAGCCAUUGGAAACGAUGAUUAAUACCGUAUACGCCCUAUGGGGGAAAGAUUUAUCGCUAAAGGAUCGGCCCGCGUUAGAUUAGGUUGUUGGUGGGGUAAUGGCCUACCAAGCCUACGAUCUAUAGCUGGUUUGAGAGGAUGAUCAGCAACACUGGGACUGAGACACGGCCCAGACUUCUACGGAAGGCAGCAGUAGGGAAUCUUGGACAAUGGGCGAAAGCCUGAUCCAGCCAUGCCGCGUGAGUGAUGAAGGCCCUAGGGUUGUAAAACUCUUUCGCCAGGGAAGAUAAUGACGGUACCUGGUAAAGAAACCCCGGCUAACUCCGUGCCAGCAGCCGCGGUAAUACGGAGGGGGUUAGCGUUGUUCGGAAUUACUGGGCGUAAAGCGCACGUAGGCGGACUAGUCAGUCAGAGGUGAAAUCCCGAGGCUCAACCUCGGAACUGCCUUUGAUACUGCUAGUCUAGAGUUCGAGAGAGGUGAGUGGAAUUCCGAGUGUAGAGGUGAAAUUCGUAGAUAUUCGGAGGAACACCAGUGGCGAAGGCGGCUCACUGGAUCGAUACUGACGCUGAGGUGCGAAAGCGU
rnacentral:rRNA from 1 species